GAUGAAGAACGUAGCGAAAUGCGAUAAGUAGUGUGAAUUGCAGAAUUCAGUGAAUCAUCGAAUCUUUGAACGCACAUUGCGCCCCUUGGUAUUCCAUGGGGCAUGCCUGUUCGAGCGUCAUUUGUACCUUCAAGCUUUGCUUGGUGUUGGGUGUUUGUCCAUUCUCUUGCAGAGGGGCUCGCCUUAAAGUAAUUGGCAGCCAGUGUUUUGGUUUUGAAGCGCAGCACAAGUCGCGAUUCAACGCUAUACGCCAGCUUCCACAAGCCUUUUUCACUUUUGACCUCGGAUCAGGUAGGGAUACCCGCUGAACUUAAGCAUAUCAAUAAGCGGAGGA
rnacentral:misc_RNA from 1 species